UACGGGGGGGGCAAGCGUUGUUCGGAAUUACUGGGCGUAAAGGGCUCGUAGGCGGCCAACUAAGUCAGACGUGAAAUCCCUCGGCUUAACCGGGGAACUGCGUCUGAUACUGGAUGGCUUGAGUUUGGGAGAGGGAUGCGGAAUUCCAGGUGUAGCGGUGAAAUGCGUAGAAUAUCUGGAGGAACACCGGUGGCGAAAGGCGGCGAUGCCGUGGACC
rnacentral:rRNA from 1 species